GGCGCCCGAGUCACCCGGAGACGCCGCCGAGCCCACGCCGGCCCCAGCCAGGCUGGCUUUGUGCUUGCGUUUUUGGGGGGCGGAGGGGAGCGAAGAGGGGGCUUGGAAAGUGUGAUCCCAUUUCAGCCUCGUGGGGGAGAAAACUUCACCGAAGUGUCCCUGUCUGGGUGAUGCAGAAAACAACAUGCACAGCCCUCUGCUCUACCCAGGAAAGACAUGAAUUAAAAUGCACUUGAAUGGGGAACAUUUUUUCUUGAAGGCUGCAUAACAGCCAGGAUCUCUCUAGGAGCUGACACUCGAACCUUCACGACCCAUUCGGAUUUUUCCAGGACUCAGGAGUGGCACUGGGAAGAAGGGGACCGCUUUCUGCAAUUGGCCUCGACACUGGCUGCCAAGAAGACCUGUCGCCUUUGUUUUUAAGUCUCCAGAAAUGGAAGAAGAAGGCGAAGUCAGUUGAAGUCACGAGAAAUCAGCGAGGCAUUUGAAGGCGCUUCCUGAAAACCUUUAUUCCCUGGCACGUUGUCUGUUUCAACAGCCCUGCCC
rnacentral:lncRNA from 1 species